CUUAAUCUCUGUUACUAGAUUUGCUUAAAGCAACAAUUUCACCAAAAACAAAAAGCAGCUCCAAAACAUACGUCGUCGUUUGCUGCAGCACCUCCCGCUCAUCGUCACCGUUGACCGCCACAUAGCUUACACUUGCUAGCCGUGCAGCAACGAUUUUACCUAAAAAAGCAGCUCCAAAACGUACGAUGUCGUCGGCCAGCACCGCUCGUUGUCACCUUUGACUGCCACACAACCAUAGUAGCUAGCCGUGCAGGUCAUUGCUCCUUUUAGUCUUCAAUUUUCUUCAUUUUAUUUGUACUGAAUUUAUAAUAAUCAUGUGUUAAUAUUAAAGAUUAUAUACUGAGGUACUAUUAGGUAUAACCAUAUGAGUAUAGGUGCAAGAAUUUCCUUUAUUGAUCAA